UACGUAGGGUGCAAGCGUUGUCCGGAAUUAUUGGGCGUAAAGAGCUCGUAGGCGGUCUGUCGCGUCGGAUGUGAAAACCCAGGGCUCAACCCUGGGCCUGCAUUCGAUACGGGCAGACUAGAGUUCGGUAGGGGAGACUGGAAUUCCUGGUGUAGCGGUGGAAUGCGCAGAUAUCAGGAGGAACACCAAUAGCGAAGGCAGCUCGCUGGGACGGUACUGACGCUAAGGCGCGAAAGCGUGGGGAGCGAACAGG
rnacentral:rRNA from 1 species